rnacentral:rRNA from 1 species
GACGAACGCUGGCGGCGCGCCUAACACAUGCAAGUCGAACGAGCGAGAGAGAGCUUGCUUUCUCGAGCGAGUGGCGAACGGGUGAGUAACGCGUGAGGAACCUGCCUCAAAGAGGGGGACAACAGUUGGAAACGACUGCUAAUACCGCAUAAGCCCACGGCUCGGCAUCGAGCAGGGGGAAAAGGAGCAAUCCGCGUUGAGAUGGCCUCGCGUCCGAUUAGCUAGUUGGUGAGGUAACGGCCCACCAAGGCGACGAUCGGCAGCCGGACCGAGAGGUUGAGCGGCCACAUUGGGACUGAGACACGGCCCAGACUCCUACGGGAGGCAGCAGUGGGGAAUAUUGCACAAUGGGGGAAACCCUGAUGCAGCGACGCCGGGUGGAGGAAGAAGGUCUUCGGAUUGUAAACUCCUGUUGUUGGGGAAGAUAAUGACGGUACCCAACAAGGAAGGGACGGCUAACUACGUG